AUUUACACAUUCAUACACACAAUCACCCUUUCUAACUUCUUGGACUUCUAUUCCACACAGUUUCUGGGAUUUCUCAAGCACAUGUGGUACUGCAGAGCGCCUGUGUUAAGGAGAGUCCAUUGGUCUCAUUAUGGACGAGCACAAUGGCCCUGCAGAGAAUUCCCUGCCAAGCCAAGGAUGGCACCAUGCCAUUAAGUGUGGGUGGCUGAGGAAGCAAGGAGGUUUUGUUAAAACUUGGCGCACACGCUGGUUUGUUCUCAAGAGGGACCAGCUUUAUUAUUUCAAAGAUGAAGAUGAAACUAAGCCCUUGACAUGGUAAUUCAGGUGCUUGUCUUAUUUAAACGAAUAUACAGCUCCCCUCAGCAGGAUGCUUGGAUCCUUAAGGCAGGAAUCUUUAAAGCAGGGGUGUCUAACCUUUUUGAAUGUGGGGCCAGAUCAUGAACUUCUUAUCACUGAGUGGGCUGGUGAGCCAUAUUCAAAGACCUCACAGGAAGCGGUAUCACAUCAGGAAGUGGUCACAUGACCUUUGACACCAAUGAAGUUGCAAGAAGUGACAAUGAAAUGGGUCUGGAAAUGUGGUUUAAAAUCCAAAAUAAAAACAAUAUAAAAGCAACAAUGAAAGAAUACCAAACACUUGAUUAAAUAAAUGCUUAGGUUACAGCAGCAAGCUAUUUUGGCAUAUUUCCCUUGUCGGCCUGGAAGCUUUGCAGGUAAAGGAGCCAGGCCUUGGGUGCUUCUUGGUGCCCUGGCCACAUUUUGCCCAAACCUAUCCUCCCAGACACACACUGCUUGGAAAGAAACAGGCUGGAAUCAGGGGCUCAGCAGGCCAUACCCAACCCCCUUCUGGCUGCCUUGGCCUGAGUUCCUCAGAGUUUUGCAUCCUAUUAUUUUUAAAGGUGGAGGCGGCAGAGACCUCUCGCCCGUACCACACAAGGCAUCUGAGACAGAAGGGUGCCCUUCUGCUGCCCUGGUGGCUGUGGACACUGCCUUGGAGGGGAAGGUGAAAGGUCAGGGAUGCCCCUGUCUUCCCUGCAUUGUUCUCUAGCCUCCUCCAGCUGAGCCCUCUCUAGUGCAACCUUGUAUUACUUUUUAUUUUUUACUUUUUGGGUCCCUAUGCCCCCUAGGCCAUGCCUGUACAGGCUGGGAGAGAGAUGGCCUCCACCAGGGGUGCAGCUGCAAGGCAGCUGAGUUGGUCCAGGGCGGCCCUGUGUGAGCUGAGCUGUCUGCUCGGGGGGGCAGCUGGAGGGGUUUAGUUUUUCUCUUCCUGGAUACAAGCCUGCCUCAGGUAGCCCUUGACCAGUGGCAGCUAGCAGGCUCCGGGGCUGUUAGCUGGAGCCCAGCUGCCUGGGCCUUUCAGUGGCACUCGGUGCUUUUGGUCUCAUGGCUGCAAGGAGCAGUCAGGACUGGGAGCAGCCGGCAGGCCAGGGCAGGAACGCUGCAGUCCCAGGGCCCCCGGCCCCACCCACAGCAGCCAGCUCCUGCCCCAGGCUGAAGUGAGGCCGCUGGAGGAAGCGGCGGGGUCCUAACCAGGCUGUGCAGCGCCGGGCUCUUCCCCCCCGCCCCAGCUCUUCUCUAGCAACAGCAGCAGGUGCCGCAGCCGCUGCCCCACAUACCAAUGCCGGCACAGGGUGGCCCUUCCACAGCAAGGAGCCAGGUAACGCUGCUCUGCCCCCUGUGUACAGUGCGUCUGGGCCGGGCUCCUCCUGCCUCCCGCUCAGCCCGGCUCCAGCAACCGCGCAACCCCGGCAUGGCCCUGAGGCGCCCCCAACUCCGCGCGGGGCCUUACCUGGUGCCUCUGUCCACCACGCAUGCGGGCAGGGCACAGGCCAUGCUGCAGCUCCUCCAGCUGUGCGCCAUGGGCAAGGGGUGGAACCAGAGGAGAAGUUGCAGGUGCUGUCUCCAGCUCGUCCAGUCAGGCACGGCUGGGGGAGCCCCGUGCCACGCAGCCUUCGGGGCAGCGGCGGCGGGACCCAGCUCACGUGAUGAGCCCGGCCCGGCGUGGGGUAAGCAGUUCCCCUCCUCUCGCUGCCGCCUGAGGAUUACGGGUCGACCCUGCCCGCCUCGCCUUGCCUCACGGCUGCCCCGCCGCCACCGUGGAGCAGGCGCCAGGAAUCUUCGCCUGUCCCGAGCGAGGGACUUUAGGCCAGAGAAAAUGGCUUGGCGGGCUGCAUGUUGGACAAGCCUGCUUUAAAGGAACACAUUUAAAGGGCACUGACUGAAUAUCUUUUUUUUGUGA